rnacentral:tRNA from 1 species
GUCACUGUAGCGCAAUGGAGAGCGGGUUGGACUUCUAAUUCAAAGGUCGUGGGUUCGAAUCCCACCUUUGAUG